AGACACCUGCAGAAGCUCUCGACUACAGAACCUAGAGCUAUGAUGCCUGUCACCUCCACAGCAACUUGUACAAGGUCCCACAUCGAAACUUUGUGCAAAACCUCCAUUUUCACUUCCCUAUAAAUUGGGAACAGUACCCGAGUAAAAAGGGUAACUACUUUCUCACCUUUUACUGUUACUCUGCCAAAGUUACUACCUAUAGCUCACCUUCUUC
rnacentral:lncRNA from 1 species